rnacentral:rRNA from 1 species
AGUCGAACGAAGUCUUCGGACUGAGUGGCGGACGGGUGAGUAACGCGUGAGAAUCUGCCUAGAGGAUGGGGACAACCACGGGAAACGGUGGCUAAUACCCGAUGAGCGGAGACGUGAAAGAUUUAUCGCCUCUAGAGGAGCUCGCGUCUGAUUAGCUAGUUGGUGGGGUAAAAGCCUACCAAGGCGACGAUCAGUAGCUGGUCUGAGAGGACAACCAGCCACACUGGGACUGAGACACGGCCCAGACUCCUACGGGAGGCAGCAGUGGGGAAUUUUCCGCAAUGGGCGAAAGCCUGACGGAGCAAUACCGCGUGAGGGAGGAAGGCUCUUGGGUCGUAAACCUCUUUUCUCAGGGAAGAACAAAAUGACGGUACCUGAGGAAUCAGCCUCGGCUAACUCCGUGCCAGCAGCCGCGGUAAUACGGAGGAGGCAAGCGUUAUCCGGAAUUAUUGGGCGUAAAGCGUCCGUAGGUGGCUUGUCAAGUCUGCUGUCAAAGACUGGGGCUUAACUCCAGAAAGGCAGUGGAAACUGAGAAGCUAGAGAGCCGUAGGGGUAGAGGGAAUUCCCGGUGUAGCGGUGAAAUGCGUAGAGAUCGGGAAGAACAUCGGUGGCGAAAGCGCUCUACUGGACGGUAUCUGACACUGAGGGACGAAAGCUAGGGGAGCGAAUGGGAUUAGAUACCCCAGUAGUCCCUAGCCGUA